rnacentral:ncRNA from 1 species
CUUUCGGGAAAGCAAUUAAAAGGGAAUCAGGUGAGAAUCCUGAACAGUCCCGCUGCUGUAAGUUUCGCGAAGUGUGACAGGCACAUACCUCUUUAGCCACUGGACACGUCCGGGAAGGCGUCUGCCACAGAAACAAGUCAGAAGACCUGCCAUGCAAC